AGAACCACAUGAACAUGGCCAUCAUCAUGGUGAUCAUAGUGGAACCAUCUUUGAUACUGCUGCAAGUUUUUUCAAUGGAUUCUUCUAAGCUGAGAUGACUGCAACAAAUUUGGAUGCAAAAUUUCUGAUGUAUCAGUGAAAUAAAAGCUGCUUUCGAUAUUUU